CGAUUUUUAUCGGUGCAAUUUUAAGUAUAACCAAUCAGAUUUCAUGCUGUGAUCACGUGCUUGUAUUUAUUUGGCAACAUGGCGGCUACAGUUCAGGGAGCGUAUUUUUUUUCGUAAUCGUGUGCGGAGUAUACUGAUGUACAGUAUAUCGGUAUGUCAAACGAUUUUUAUCGGCCGACUAAAAUCGCAUCGUGUGCGCCAGGCUUUACUCCUUUAAAGUGCAUUAUUUACGAGUUAACUGAGCGGGCUCCUCGUGGCCACAGAGUAGAGACAUACAGAGACGUAACUGACAGUUGUAAACACUGCGGAAGCUUACGUUUCAUGUACCCAAUUUUUUUCAGGCGACCGGGCAAAAAAUGAUCAACUGCGCGUGCUCAGCAAGUUUAAAGUGAGUCGUCAUCAGGUCGUUAUCCAAUCAGAUGCAUGCAUCUAGUAACUUGCCGAGCAUGCGCACAAAAAAGUGGGUACACUAGUUACGUCUCUGUAUGUCUCUACUCUGUGUCGUGGCGCAGUGAUUUAGGCGCCCGCUUGGGAAGCGUGGCUCCCUGGUUCGAGUGCCGUAAGUGAGCAACAGUUUUAUUUUCAAGUUAAAUUUUUUUUUCAACUUCUUUCGAGUAUGAUUUUAAGCUUCGGUCUUAGGAUUAGGAGUUAGGGUGGUGUGUGGGGUGGUUUAAUUUUUUUAAGAGAAUAUUUUUAACACUUUAGGACUAAAUUUCCUGACUGUCGGGCACACUGCCUGCAGCCCGACUGCCGAGAUGGAAUUAUAAAGUUUGAUAGUUUAGAUACAUGUGAUGUCUGAUGGAUAUUUUGAAUAUAAACUAGAUGGAGCACACAAAAUAUGCGUAC